UACAGAGGGUGCAAGCGUUGUCCGGAUUUAUUGGGCGUAAAGAGCGUGUAGGCGGCCAUGCAGGUCCGUUGUGAAAACUCGAGGCUCAACCUCGAGACGCCGGUGGAAACCGUAUGGCUAGAGUCCGGAAGAGGAGAGUGGAAUUCCUGGUGUAGCGGUGAAAUGCGCAGAUAUCAGGAAGAACACCCGUGGCGAAGGCGGCUCUCUGGGACGUGACUGACGCUGAGACGCGAAAGCGUGGGGAGCAAACAGG
rnacentral:rRNA from 1 species